CUGGUGGACACUCCACUAGGGGACCAGAUGGAACACUGGGAUACAAAGGGUAAAAGGACCAAUCACAAGGAUACACAUUUAAAUACUCCCACAAUGCAUUAUAAUCCCUCCUCUCUGUCCUGGAGAUAAUUGGGAAGUAAUCCAAUUAUCUCCAAGGACAGAGGCAAAACUCCAUUAGCCACAUGUUAGUAUAAAGACAUAAAAUUACACAGUGUUACAAUUACUACAUAAAACAUAUACAUUCAACAUAUCCCCAAUUAGCUUAGAUCUGAGCACACGUUGUUACCGAAUGGCACUCAGAUCACAUACAUACAGUUCAAUUGCCAUGGAGCCAAAGUCUUUC